ensembl:snoRNA SNORD10 small nucleolar RNA, C/D box 10
GUUCGCUGAUGAUUCCCCAUGCGUGUCAGCUGAUCCCAGUGCCGCCUGGUGCCCCCUGCUAGGCGUUCUGCCAUCCGGGCCUGGCACAGGGGCUUCUGGGUGUGAUCAGAGCUCUCCCGACUGAGAAC